rnacentral:rRNA from 1 species
AGAAAAGAAACCAACAGGGAUUGCCCUUAGUAACGGGGAGUGAGGCGGCAACAGCUCAAAUUUGAAAUCUGGCUCUUCAGAGUCCGAGUAGUAAUUUACAGAGGGCGCUUUGGCUUUGGCAGCGGUUCAAGUUCCUUGGAACAGGACGUCACAGAGGGUGAGAAUCCCGUACGUGGUCGAUAGCUAUUGCCGUGUAAAGCCCCUUCGACGAGUCGAGUUGUUUGGGAAUGCAGCUGUAAAUGGGAGGUAAAUUUCUUCUAAAGCUAAAUAUUGGCCAGAGACCGAUAGCGCACAAGUAGAGUGAUCGAAAGAUGAAAAGCACUUUGGAAAGAGAGUCAAACAGCACGUGAAAUUGUUGAAAGGGAAGCGCUUGCAGCCAGACUUGUUUGCAGUUGGUCAUCCGGGCUUUUGCCCGGUGCACUCUUCGGCAGGCAGGCCAGCAUCAGUUUGGGCGGUGGGAUAAAGGUCUCUGUCACGUUCCUUCCUUCGGGUUGGCCAUAUAGGGGAGAUGUCAUACCACCAGCCUGGACUGAGGUCCGCGCAUGUGAUAGGAUGCUGGCGUAAUGGCUGUAAGCGGCCCGUCUUGAAACACGGACCAAGGAGUCUAACAUCGAUGCGAGUGUUUGGGGGUCAAGCCCGAGCGCGUAAUGAAAGUGGACGGCGGUGGGAACCCCCAAGGGCGCACCAUGGACCCGUCGGGAAGUUGUUGGAAGGAUUAAAAAAAGAGCAUUUCGUAGGGACCCGAAAGAUGCUGAAAUAUGCUUGAAAAUGGCGAAGCCUGAGGAAACUCUGGGGAAGCUCGCAGCGGUUCUGACGGCAAAUGGAUCGUUAAAAUUGGCAUAGGGAGAAGGUGUAAUA